rnacentral:lncRNA from 1 species
UUAGGAUUAAUAAUUUCAUACAGGUCUUAUAAAGAAAUUAAAUAGUAAAUAUAUUUUCAUAAAAUUUAAGUUAUUAAAUUUAUUUUUUAAUUAUUUUUUUGAUUUUUAAAUAUAUUCUUCCAAAAGUUUCUGUUCGUUGGUAUAUAUUCCUACCGUUUAAUUCACUGUUAAUUUUUUAACGAUGGAUGCUUAAAAUGACUAUUUUAUGCUUAUAAAUUUGUGCCGGUAAAAAGCUAUCAUUUUUUUUCCUCACUCUCCUCGUCUUCGCUGAGACACAUGUGGCGUACCUCAUUUUUAUUGCGACCAAAUGUCUCGCCUUCAACGUGCCGUCGUAGGUCUUGUUGUCGCCAUGAAUAAAAAACAGAUAGUAAGAAAUAUGACGAAACUCAAUGUUAGAAUACAAAUUAUAUAAAUGAGAGGUAAAAAAAAAUAUUUUACUCUUAGCUACCCGUGGUUAGAUUUUUUAACUCAUUAUUAUCUAAAUUUUAUUUAACAGAAGAAUAAAUUUGUAGGAAAUUUUUUUUGAAGGGAUAAAUUUGAUAACUUAGGCUUCGUUUGGUUCGGAUAUAAAUAAGAAUUACCUAUUUCAGGAAUAGAUAUAAGUUCAGAUAUAACCCUGGAAUAAACUAAUUUUACAUUUGAAUGAAAAUUGAGUUGUUUUCGAAAAUAAGAAAAAUAGUAUUUAAAUAAAUGAUAUGGAAUAAGAAGAAUAGCGAGUAGUUAUAAAUAAAAAAUAAUAAUAUAAUCUCUUAUAUUAUAUUUGAAUUUAAAUUUUUUUAAUUUUAUAUUUAAAAUUUUUAAAUUUAAAUAUAUAAUUUUUAAAAUUAAAAAUUAAAAAUAUAAAAAUGUAAAUUUAAAAAUAAAAUAAGAGAGUAGUUAACAAUCCCCACCCUUAUUUAACCAAACGCCGGUCUAAAUUUUAUAGGAAUAUAUUUGUUACUUGAUAUAUUUGCAAAAAGAUAUAUAAUUAUCCCUAUUUAUUAUUUUAUAUUAAAAAUGCUCCCAAUUAU